rnacentral:lncRNA from 1 species
AAAAAUAAAUAAAAAUCCAAGUCUGACUCGAGCCUAACCCUCAUAUUUAUCUUAAAAUGGGCUUGGGUCUGAGCUUAAAAAAACCCAACCCAAACCCGCUUUUUACCAUCUCCAAUUGACAAACACCUUCUCUAGCAUAAGUUUGCAUUGUCAGCAUUUAUGUUACCAUUAGUGUGUUUUGAGUAAAAUCACCAAGAGCCAUUUGAUUUCCAAGAUAACAAAUCCAUACGCACUUGACUGUUGAGACUUAAGCUCUAUUUAGUAUUAUUAUGGUAUGGCUCUUAAAAUCAUAUUUGCCGUGGAAUGGAAGCUCUAUUUAUUAAAAAAAAAAAAAAACUUGUGUUUGGCAAAUAGUACCAACUAUUAAGUAAAUGUUAUUAUUUAUCAUUAUUUUUUGAGUUUGCUUUUUAGUAAAUUUUUUUUUGUUAAAUGAAAAAAUUAGUUGUUCUGCUAAACUCAAGCCACAAAUAUUUACCAAACAAUACAGAUUUUAAAACUUAUGAAACCUUAAACCAAAAGCUAAAAACAAUACUAGCCUUUCUCCAUUUAGGUAGUGUUUACUUUCUGGAGUGGGAGUGUGGAGUGUGGAUUUCUCCCACUCCAGUGUUUACUUACCAUUUUUAAGGGGGAAGUGGGAUUCCCACU